AGCCGAGUGGUUAAGGCGAUGGACUAGAAAUCCACUGGGGUUUCCCCGCACAGGUUCGAAUCCUGU
rnacentral:tRNA from 1 species